CCCCUAUCAGGAGCGACGCAGGGACCUGGCCCAGUGACCGUCGCAGCAACCGGCCCUCAUCACGGCACGGUGCUCAACGCCAGCCCACCUCAGGUCAACGAUGACCGACGGUCGGAACGAUACGGG
rnacentral:ncRNA from 2 species